GAGAUAAGGGCUUUUCGUAGGUGACCUGCGGAGGAUCAUUA
rnacentral:rRNA from 1 species